GACGAACGCUGGCGGCGUGCUUAACACAUGCGAGUCGAACGGUAAGGCUCCAGCUUGCUGGGGUACACGAGUGGCGAACGGGUGAGUAACACGUGGGUGACCUGCCCUGCACUUCGGGAUAAGCCUGGGAAACUGGGUCUAAUACCGGAUAGGACCAUGGUGUGGAUACUGUGGUGGAAAGUUUUUUCGGUGUGGGAUGGGCCCGCGGCCUAUCAGCUUGUUGGUGGGGUAAUGGCCUACCAAGGCGGCGACGGGUAGCCGGCCUGAGAGGGUGGACGGCCACAUUGGGACUGAGACACGGCCCAGACUCCUACGAGAGGCAGCAGUGGGGAAUAUUGCACAAUGGGCGGAAGCCUGAUGCAGCGACGCCGCGUGGGGGAUGACGGCCUUCGGGUUGUAAACUCCUUUCACCAUCGACGAAGGGUUUCUGACGGUAGAUGGAGAAGAAGCACCGGCUAACUACGUG
rnacentral:rRNA from 1 species